rnacentral:rRNA from 1 species
UGAGGAAUAUUGGCCAAUGGGCGCAGGCCUGAACCAGCCAAGUCGCGUGAGGGAGGACGGUCCUACGGAUUGUAAACCUCUUUUGUCGGGGAGUAACGUGCGGGACGCGUCCCGUAUUGAGAGUACCCGAAGAAAAAGCAUCGGCUAACUCCGUGCCAGCAGCCGCGGUAAUACGGAGGAUGCGAGCGUUAUCCGGAUUCAUUGGGUUUAAAGGUGCGUAGGUGGCCGAUUAAGUCAGCGGUGAAAGUCAGUGGCUCAACCAUUGAACUGCCGUUGAAACUGGUUGGCUUGAGUACGUACGGGGCAGGCGGAAUGCGUGGUGUAGCGGUGAAAUGCAUAGAUAUCACGCAGAACCCCGAUCGCGAAGGCAGCCUGCCAGGCCGUGACUGACACUGAUGCACG